GGCCCUGGUUCCAAGCGAGUGCAGCAGAGGAACCCCUGAGAAUUCACACACAGGCACAGGACUCUGCUGUAGGCCUCAUGCAAAAUUGGAUAUCAAGAUAAAGAAUUAGCACCAACAAUACUAUUUGUCAAAUGUAGAACAGAACACAAAGGAAAGAGAAUCUAAACAUCGCACGAUGAAAUGUAUUAUGUAGAGCAGCUGGAAACAUUAUUUCCAGGACUUUUUGAAGACUACCUCAGGCUUUCUCUGAGACACGGAAGAAAACACUGCUCAAUAAAGUACUGGAGUAAAACUGGUCUCCCGAGUCCAUAGGGAGCAACCCUUGUUACAGACCUGCUUUCCGGAAUACCACAGCUUCUUUUUUUCCACUCUUUAGGCAGGAUUGUUGUGCGCAUGUUUAUAUCAUUGCAUGCGGAUUUCCGCAUGAAGUUUCGCUAACCCACUUUGCUAUUUCACUUAACAGAAUGUCCUUUAUACUAGUGAAUCCUGGUAUCUAGAACAAAGUACCACAGACUGAAUGGCUUAAAAAUGUGGAAGAUACUUUUUUAUAGUUGUGGAGGCUGAAACUAGAUCAGAGUGCCGAUAUGGUUCAAUUCCAAUGAGGACAGUUUUUUUCAGGUUACAGAAUGAUUCUUGUUUCCAUCCUUUGUAACUCCUCGUGUUGGAUAGAAGAAAUGCAGAGUCCAUGAGAUUUCUUCCAGAGUAGCACUUGUCUGAAUCAUGAGGGACUCUCUCACCAUGAUCCAAUCACUCUCAGAGUCUCCACUUCCUAAUACUAACACACUGAGCAUGAGGACUUCAUCGUACCAACUUUGGAGGAUCAUCAAUUAAUCUAUUGUACAUUCCAUCAUC
rnacentral:lncRNA from 1 species